rnacentral:rRNA from 1 species
AACGAACGCUGGCGGCAUGCCUAACACAUGCAAGUCGAACGAGAUCUUCGGGUCUAGUGGCGCACGGGUGCGUAACGCGUGGGAAUCUGCCCUUUGGUUCGGAAUAACAGUUGGAAACGACUGCUAAUACCGGAUGAUGACGAAAGUCCAAAGAUUUAUCGCCAGAGGAUGAGCCCGCGUAGGAUUAGCUAGUUGGUGUGGUAAAGGCGCACCAAGGCGACGAUCCUUAGCUGGUCUGAGAGGAUGAUCAGCCACACUGGGACUGAGACACGGCCCAGACUCCUACGGGAGGCAGCAGUGGGGAAUAUUGGACAAUGGGCGAAAGCUUGAUCCAGCAAUGCCGCGUGAGUGAUGAAGGCCUUAGGGUUGUAAAGCUCUCUUACCCGGGAUGAUAAUGACAGUACCGGGAGAAUAAGCUCCGGCUAACUCCGUGCCAGCAGCCGCCGUAA